AGCGAACGCUGGCGGCAGGCCUAACACAUGCAAGUCGAACGGAUCCUUCGGGAUUAGUGGCGGACGGGUGAGUAACACGUGGGAACGUGCCCUUUGGCUCGGAACAACUCAGGGAAACUUGAGCUAAUACCGGAUGUGCCCUUCGGGGGAAAGAUUUAUCGCCAUUGGAGCGGCCCGCGUCUGAUUAGCUAGUUGGUGAGGUAACGGCCCACCAAGGCGACGAUCAGUAGCUGGUCUGAGAGGAUGAUCAGCCACACUGGGACUGAGACACGGCCCAGACUCCUACGGGAGGCAGCAGUGGGGAAUCUUGCGCAAUGGGCGAAAGCCUGACGCAGCCAUGCCGCGUGAAUGAUGAAGGUCUUAGGAUUGUAAAAUUCUUUCAGCGGGGACGAUAAUGACGGUACCCGCAGAAGAAGCUCCGGCUAACUUCGUG
rnacentral:rRNA from 1 species